rnacentral:rRNA from 1 species
AUGUUUUCCCCUGGUCAGUUGUUGCUGGAACACCAGCAUUCAGAGUUGCAAGAGUUGGAGCAAAGUUGGAACUAUAAGGAUUCAGUCAUUGAGCAGAAAAUGAUGACAACUGAUCAAGAAGUAAAAGCAAGGAGCUCUGAAGAAGCAUUGCAAGGCCCUGAUUAUGCAGAAACAACAGAUACAGAUGGCACUAGUGGCAGCGAUGAUUCAGAGUUUGAAGCAGAGCAGCUAAAAGAGGUGGAACAAGUAACAGAAAACUAUGAAAUAGAUAGCAGUGCUGGUUAUGCACAAUCAAAUGAAGAGGGUCAGAAUGAAAUUGUUAGUCCAUCAGGUAAGGAAAAAAAUGCAGGAACUAGUAAUAAGCAGAUGAAAGAUGAAAACAAGUUAUCUCAGGAAGAUAUAGAAUUUUUUCCUUGA